UGAGCGCAACAUCGCCUUAUAUGGAUAUUUACCGCGUGUCCGUGUAAGAUCACGCGAUUUUGUGCAUCGCAUUGGGUUUUUAUCAGUAACUUGCUUGUUUACAUUCGUGAAUCUUGCGUACGGCGUGAAACCACGCGCAGUGCUGAAGUAUGUUGUAUUCGGACAGUCCCAUCUUAUCAUUUGCCAUUGUCGGAAAUAUAUUUUAGUCGAGUUUUGUUCGGUUACCUUGUGCGGUGUUUCUCGUGAGUCGUGAUGUUUCGUAUGAUUUAAUUCCAUAAAUCGCGUUAUUUUCGAUUAAAAUACCGAUGCCAUUAAUUAGUGGCAAACUUUGUUGGGGAUUUCAUGUUUUGCUGGUAUUUUUGCGUGUGUGGAACAUUUAAAAACGUGAAUUGACUAUCUGUCGGAUGUUGGAUAUGUAUGGAUUACAGAGAAACGUCGACUGGAAAUGAUACUUCUAUUAACCGUGCUUGGAGUCCCAUGAGUUCUGCAUUGUUAUAGCACUCGUACCUAGCAGUCCGAUAAGGUGUACACUGCAAUCGCCCUUUGAUUUCCGAUGGCCGACUCACGAGCUAAAUUAGAAUGCGAAUUUGAUUCGUUUCGUCGGUCGAUUCCGGAUUUAAAAUAAAAUACAUUAGCCUGCGUGUUGCACCGCGGGAAAUACUGGUAUGUGGUAUGUGUAAUUAAGUGUUUGUUUUAUACAACUGAUUCACGCGUGCUCGUAAUAUGUAGAUCAUUUUAGUCAUUGCAUACAAACUUGAGCGGGGUGUUUAAAAAUGUAGAAUUAAAUUCUCUACUACUACGUUUAUGUAUAAACAACUUUUUUGUUCGACUGGCGCGUAAACGCGACGUACCUGCCUUGUACCUGGCAACGCGCAGCGCACACGGCAGUCGUUACACCGCGUGGUCCGCAAGCGUGUCUUUCUAAUCGCCACGCGUUUUGAGGUUUUAAUUGAAUUAAUCGACGUGCAUUCUUUUGGCCAUCAGCAAAAUAUUCGGGACGAGCAUGUGUGGCGGUUUUGUUUAAUGAUUUGUCGCGGUUAGAGUGUUCUUAACUAAGAAAUAAUCUCUGCGCGAGUUUUCAGUUGGUAGAAUAUAUUACAGGAUAUAUAAUCUCCUCAUUAAUGCAAAGGUAUGUGUAUAAUAAAUUUUUUUCAUGAAAACUUGAUUAUUCCAUUUGAGGGAUACUAUUUUUGCAUGUAACAUCUUGCAAAUUACAAACACGUGGUAGCAGUUUUAUCAGAAUUCUUAAUCGCGUUUCGGAAAAUAACGUGCAUGAUUUAUUUAUUACAAAGACGGUUUUAAAAAUUAUCUGCGGAUUAUUAAAAUGACAAUAUUCAUGUGGUCGACCGCGCUCACUUUGCCGUCGGCCGUCGGCUCGGUCAGCUUUUCGCUGAACACGUGAACGUUUUUAAUCGAAUUGUACUCGAUAGCAUCAUUAAAUUAAGAAGUUUCUUGUUGAUCUAAUAUAAUCUUGUAUGAUGAGUAGUUUUUCGUUUUUGUAGUUUGCGUAUAUCUUAAUAUGUACAAAGAAAUAGUUAUUUUUGUCCUAUUUACCGACUAUAUUGCUACGCGCCGUCGCUUGCCGUCUGUUGAUUUAGAUGUUUUCCGCCGAAUAUUCUAUUAAUUUAUGAUGAUGCUUCACCUGUCGGUUAUCUUAUACAGUUGAUGCUACCAUCAAUUAAUGAAUACAUAUUUACAAUAUAUUAAAAUGUGAGUGUUUAAUUUUUGUAGCACCCUUUUGCUCAAUUUCCCGUUGAUUUUCGGGUAAAAUCUUUGAUUUUAUAUUAAAAUAUUGUUGUUUUCUUAUAAAUUUCUCGUGUCAUAAUGUGAAUAUUGAUUAUUUUUGUAGUUGCGAAAGUUUUUUGCUUGUAACACCCUGUAUAUUAGUUUUCCUAACACCACGUAGAAGAUUGUCUUUAAUUGUGAGUUUUGAAUGUUCUUUGUUUUGAACUUGGGAUUUUCUUUCUGGUACACCCUGUAUAUUCAUUUUCCUUCGUGUCCGUAAAAAUUUUGUUUCAACUGUUGUUUUUAGCAUUUUCCUCUUUGCACUUUGAAUUUUCUUUCUGAAACACCCUGUAUAUUAGUUUCCUUUAUCGUCGAGUGAAAACGAGCGGCGUUUGUAGUGUUUGGAGUUUUUGUUUGCACUUUAUAUUUUCCUUUUGUAACACCCUGUAUAUUUAUUUACAUUUUCAGUGACCUAGAAAAUUGGCUAUUUACUAAUUUCAUUAUCCCGGUACUACUUUAUGAAGUAGUACUUGCUUGCAUGUGCGCGGCUGUGCAGGUCGUAAGUCCUGCUUCAAUAUGGCGGCACAAAUUCUGUUGACUUGUAAAAUUUAAACUUGUAUUCUAUUGUUAAUAAAGAAAUAGUAAGAAA